UACGUAGGAUCCAAGCGUUAUCCGGAUUUACUGGGCGUAAAGAGUUGCGUAGGUGGUUUGUUAAGUAAAUAGUGAAAUCGUGUGGCUCAACCAUACAUCCAUUAUUUAAACUGGCAGACUUGAGAGUGAGAGAGGUACCUGGAAUUGCUAGUGUAGGAGUGGAAUCCGUAGAUAUUAGCAGGAACACCGAUGGCGUAGGCAGGGUACUGGCUCAUUUCUGACACUAAGGCACGAAAGCGUGGGGAGCGAACAGG
rnacentral:rRNA from 1 species